rnacentral:rRNA from 1 species
AAUUUCUAUGAUAAGCCAUGCACGUCUAAGUACAAACUAAAUGAUGGUGAAACUGCAAAUGGCUCAUUACAACGGUUAUGAUGUACCCGGGAGUUCCGAUGGAUAUUUCCAGUAACACUAGAACUAAUACAUGUCCCUGCGUUUAUUAGUUUCGCACAGUCCGUCGCUGAGUCAUGGUAAACAGUUGAUCGACUCGACGUCCCGGAACAGUUUCCGCCCCAUCAGCUUCGAUGGUUGGGUAUUGGCCUACCAUUGCAACAACGGGUAACGAGGAAUUAGGGUUUGAUUUCGGAGAGGGAGCCUGAGAAACGGCUACCACAUCUACGGAUGGCAGCAGGCGCGCAAAUUACCCAAUGCAGACACUGUGAGGUAGUGACGAGAAAUAAUAAAGCGGGACUUCUGUUUCGCUAUUAUAAUGAGGAAUAACCAAAGGUCAUUCCGAUUAGCAACUGAUGGGAAAGUCUGGUGCCAGCAGCCGCGGUAAUACCAGCGUCAGUAGC